rnacentral:rRNA from 1 species
CCUACGGGUGGCAGCAGUGGGGAAUAUUGGGCAAUGGAGGCAACUCUUACCCAGCAAUGCCGCGUGAGUGAAGAAGGUCUUCGGAUUGUAAAGUUCUUUAAUUCGGGAUGAAAAAGAUGACGGUGCCCAAGGAAUAAGCCGCGGCUAACUACGUGCCAGCCGCCGCGGUAAUACGUAGGGGGGAAGCGUUGUUCGGAAAGACGGGGCGUAAAGGGGGUGUAAGCGGUGUAGCAAGUUAGAAGUGAAAUACCUAGAGCUUAACUCAGGUGCUGCUUCUAAAACUGCUAUACUUGAGUGAAGUAGAGGAAAGUGGAAUUCCUAGUGUAGCGGUGGAAUGCGUAGAUAUUAGGAGGAACAUCGGUGGCGAAGGCGACUUUCUGGACUGUAACUGACGCUGAGGCACGAAAGUGUGGGGAGCAAACAGGAUUAGAUACCCGAGUAGUC